rnacentral:lncRNA from 1 species
AGAGGCUGGAAGUCCACAGUGCCGGCAUCUGUGAGGGCCUUCUUGCUGCCUCACCUCAUGGCAGAGGGCAUCACAUGCUCAGAGUGGGAGCAAGGGAGCCAGGGAGAGCUCACAGGCACAAGAAUAACGCUGCUGUGAUAAUAAACCCACUCCUGGGACAGCAACAUUCAUCCCGUCAUGAGAACAGAGCCCUCAUUCAUCCAUUCAUCUCAUCAUAGGGGCAGAAGGAUUACAUUUCUAACACAUGAACUUUUGGGGGACACAUUCAAUACCUAGCACUCCCAAAAUAUUCACUAAGAGUGAGAGUAAAUUGAUUUAAUUUCAGACUGUUCUUGGCAGUCCAUAAGUAGAGAUUUCCAAGUUUUACAAUAGAGAAUUAAAAUGAUUGAAAAAUAUUCUAAAAAAAAAAAAACAACCUGCAGAAGAAAGCUAGAAAAUCAGAAGAUGAAAUAUUUUUUAGGCAUAAAAUAUGCAUGCAGUUUAUAGACAAUGGAGAUGUGCUAACUCUUGAAAACGUGCUUCGACAUCUCAAAUUGCUUAAGGCUUUUGCAACAAAAUAACUUACCAGUGUCAGGCCAUGGUAGAAUAUGAGUUCACAAUGAAUUUUUAUGCCUGGGUUUCUGUGACCCAAGUUAUGCUGAAGAAUAUGAGAGACACCACCUUUUAAAAAUUUUUACAUAGCCUGCGGCCACUGCAAUUCGUUAAUCCCUUUGGAAAAUUGCUUAAGCCUGGCAUGUUUUGUAAUGAACUUUAUCUCUUCACUACCAAAAGUCGUAAAAAGGAACUUCAGUGAGGAAAGAAACACAAUUGAUAAUUGAAUAUUUCAAAGAGAUCAGCAUUUUAGAAAACUGGCUUUUUGGAUUGGCUCACAGUUUUCCUACUUUUCUGUCCUGUCAGUUGAGAAGAAUACAUUUCAAGAGAUGCUCUUGGAAAACACGUUUGAUGGAGAGGUUGAUUUUUGUAACCUGUAUGCCGUAGUCAGGAGGGAAAUUUGGACAUGGACACAUAGGGAAGACAGCCAUGUGGAGACAGAGGCAGAGGUGGACCUGCUGCCGCAAAACCACAGGGCGCCAAGUACUGUGGGCCACUGAGAAAACUAAAGGAGAGGAAGGAUUCUUCCCUGGAGCUUUGGAGAGGGUAAUGAACUGUAACCUCACUGGACGUGUAAACAGACUGUGACCUACCUACUCUUGUGCCAAUCAUGGAGUUUCAGCCAAUCACAGGCGGCCGGCUGUUCAAACCAUGUUUAAAUAAGGCAAACGCAGAGCUGUAAGCAAUCUAGGUGUUUCUGCACCUCUCGUCCAUUUUCUGUAAGUCCUUUUUCUGUUCAUAAAUCUUCUUCCAUCA